GUCGUACGCACUGGCCCAACUGAUUGAUGGUGCUUGCACCUGAUUGACGUUGGAUCACCAGUGAGUGGCGGACGGGUGAGUAACACGUAGGUAACCUGCCCCGGAGCGGGGGAUAACAUUUGGAAACAGAUGCUAAUACCGCAUAACAACAAAAGCCACAUGGCUUUUGUUUGAAAGAUGGCUUUGGCUAUCACUCUGGGAUGGACCUGCGGUGCAUUAGCUAGUUGGUAAGGUAACGGCUUACCAAGGCGAUGAUGCAUAGCCGAGUUGAGAGACUGAUCGGCCACAAUGGAACUGAGACACGGUCCAUACUCCUACGGGAGGCAGCAGUAGGGAAUCUUCCACAAUGGGCGCAAGCCUGAUGGAGCAACACCGCGUGAGUGAAGAAGGGUUUCGGCUCGUAAAGCUCUGUUGUUGGAGAAGAACGUGCGUGAGAGUAACUGUUCACGCAGUGACGGUAUCCAACCAGAAAGUCACGGCUAACUACGUGCCAGCAGCCGCGGUAAUACGUAGGUGGCAAGCGUUAUCCGGAUUUAUUGGGCGUAAAGCGAGCGCAGGCGGUUGCUUAGGUCUGAUGUGAAAGCCUUCGGCUUAACCGAAGAAGUGCAUCGGAAACCGGGCGACUUGAGUGCAGAAGAGGACAGUGGAACUCCAUGUGUAGCGGUGGAAUGCGUAGAUAUAUGGAAGAACACCAGUGGCGAAGGCGGCUGUCUGGUCUGCAACUGACGCUGAGGCUCGAAAGCAUGGGUAGCGAACAGGAUUAGAUACCCUGGUAGUCCAUGCCGUAAACGAUGAGUGCUAGGUGUUGGAGGGUUUCCGCCCUUCAGUGCCGGAGCUAACGCAUUAAGCACUCCG
rnacentral:rRNA from 2 species